rnacentral:lncRNA from 1 species
CUGAAAUUUUGUACAGUAAUUAAAAACCCGACAAAUUUUCCAUCUGUUAACUCAAAAUAUGAUUGCAGCUUUCAAAUUUUGUGCGCGAGCCAUUUUUAAUUUGUUGGAAAAGACACACCCCCCUGGUUCACAAAAUUUGAGAUCGAGAAAUUUUUCUCAUAAUUCUACAUUAUAAGUACCCAAAGAGGCUAUAUAUAUAAAAAACCGGAUACAAAUAGCUGUUUUGCGAAAUUGAGAGCAAUUUUAAAUC